GAAAUCUGUUUAUAAGUAGUAUUGUGAAAAAGUAGGAAAUUAAGAUUUCGUGAGAGGUAUUUAUAUUAAUAGAAAUUAUUAAUUAGUGUUCUUUUUGUAUCAUGAUUUGUAAAGAGUGUAUGAAAAUUUUAUAUCCUGAAAAUUUUAGAGUAAUUCUUUUAUAUUUCUAAUGUUUCAAAAUUAGGAUAAAGGAGAGAAUGGUAAUGACAUGUUUUUCGAGAAAAUUGAUAGCUGGUUUAAAGGGAAAUAUAUUUUAGUAUAGGUAAAAUUUAUUUAUUAAAAUUAUAGUUUUUAGAAAUUUUAAUAAGGUUUUAAUUCAGAUUCUAGGGGUAAGCUCUAGAAUAUAAGAAGAAAUGUGUAGUUAGUUAGUAGGGUUGAUAUUGGCCAUCUAUAAGAAGUGUUAUAUAAAGUAAUUACAAGAAAAUUUUUUGAUUAAGUACCUUUAUAUUUAUAAUAAUUAUUAAUGAAGAACUUAGUAUAAAAUCAGUAAUAAUUGUAGUAUAAAAUGAAAUUGUUUUAAAUGAAAAGUUGUUAGUGUUGAUUUUUUCAGCGAAGGGUUUAUUUCUAUAAAUGUUUUUAAAAGGAAUUCGGCUAAUUUUUUUUACGCCUGUUUAUCAAAAACAUGGCCUUUUGAUUUAUGUGUAAUAUAAAAGGUUGGACCUGCCCAGUGGUUUAUCUAAAUGGCUGCAGUGAAUAACUGUACAAAGGUAGCGAAAUCAGUUGUCCUUUAAAUGGGGGAAGGUAUGAAAGGUUUGACGGUAAAGAAGCUGUCUCUUAAAAAUAGUGUGAAGUUUCCGUCUAAGUGAAAAGGCUUAGAUUUUUUAAAAAGACGAGAAGACCCUAUUGAGCUUAAUUAUAUUUUUUUUAUUAAGAAAGUUGAAGUUUUAUUGGGGCAAUAGGAAGCUAUAAGUAAUGCUUCUUUUUAAGGUAAGGAUCCUCCAUGGGAGAAGUAAGCAAAAGUUACCAUAGGGAUAACAGCGUUAUCUUUCUUAAGAGUUCUAAUUGAGGGAAAGGUUUGCGACCUCGAUGUUGGAUUAAGAUGUCUUUUUGGUGCAGCAGCUAAAAAAGUAAGACUGUUCGUCUUUUAAAAUUUUACAUGAACUGAGUUAAGACCGGUGUGAACUAGGUCGGUUUCUAUCUUUUUUUUACGGCAGCUUUGUACGAAAGGAUCGGCUGGAUGAUGUUUUACUUUAUU
rnacentral:rRNA from 1 species